GAUGAAGAACGUAGCGAAAUGCGAUACUUGGUGUGAAUUGCAGAAUCCCGUGAACCAUCGAGUCUUUGAACGCAAGUUGCGCCCGAAGCCAUUAGGCCGAGGGCACGCCUGCCUGGGCGUCACACGUCGUUGCCCCCCCAUCUACUCCUUCGGGAUUGCGGGGGGCGGAUGACGGCCUCUCGUGCGCCUCGUCGCGCGGUUGGCCUAAAUGCCAAGUCCUCGGCGACGCACGCCACGACAAUCGGUGGUUGCGAAACCUCGGUUGCCUGUCGUGUGCGGUCGUCGCGCAUCGAGGGCUCGAAAAAAUUGCCGGGCUUCGGCUCGACUUUCAACGCGACCCCAGGUCAGGCGGGGUUACCCGCUGAAUUUAAGCAUAUCAAUAAGCGGAGGA
rnacentral:misc_RNA from 1 species